rnacentral:tRNA from 1 species
GAGUCUGUAGCUCAGCUGGAUAGAGCAACGGCCUUCUAAGCCGUAGGUCGCGGGUUCGAAUCCCUCCAGGCUCGCCA